rnacentral:rRNA from 1 species
CCCUUAGAGUUUGAUCCUGGCUCAGGAUGAACGCUGGCGGCGUGCUUAACACAUGCAAGUCGAACGAAGCACCUUGAUUUGAUUCUUCGGAUGAAGAUCUUGGUGACUGAGUGGCGGACGGGUGAGUAACGCGUGGGUAACCUGCCUCAUACAGGGGGAUAACAGUUAGAAAUGACUGCUAAUACCGCAUAAGACCACAGCACCGCAUGGUGCAGGGGUAAAAACUCCGGUGGUAUGAGAUGGACCCGCGUCUGAUUAGGUAGUUGGUGGGGUAACGGCCUACCAAGCCGACGAUCAGUAGCCGACCUGAGAGGGUGACCGGCCACAUUGGGACUGAGACACGGCCCAAACUCCUACGGGAGGCAGCAGUGGGGAAUAUUGCACAAUGGGGGAAACCCUGAUGCAGCGACGCCGCGUGAGCGAUGAAGUAUUUCGGUAUGUAAAGCUCUAUCAG